rnacentral:rRNA from 1 species
AGAGUUUGAUCCUGGCUCAGAUUGAACGCUGGCGGCAGGCCUAACACAUGCAAGUCGAACGGUAACAGGAAGCAGCUUGCUGCUUCGCUGACGAGUGGCGGACGGGUGAGUAAUGUCUGGGAAGCUGCCUGAUGGAGGGGGAUAACUACUGGAAACGGUAGCUAAUACCGCAUAAUGUCGCAAGACCAAAGAGGGGGACCUUCGGGCCUCUUGCCAUCGGAUGUGCCCAGAUGGGAUUAGCUUGUUGGUGGGGUAACGGCUCACCAAGGCGACGAUCCCUAGCUGGUCUGAGAGGAUGACCAGCCACACUGGAACUGAGACACGGUCCAGACUCCUACGGGAGGCAGCAGUGGGGAAUAUUGCACAAUGGGCGCAAGCCUGAUGCAGCCAUGCCGCGUGUAUGAAGAAGGCCUUCGGGUUGUAAAGUACUUUCAGCGGGGAGGAAGGGAGUAAAGUUAAUACCUUUGCUCAUUGACGUUACCCGCAGAAGAAGCACCGGCUAACUCCGUGCCAGCAGCCGCGGUAAUACGGAGGGUGCAAGCGUUAAUCGGAAUUACUGGGCGUAAAGCGCACGCAGGCGGUUUGUUAAGUCAGAUGUGAAAUCCCCGGGCUCAACCUGGGAACUGCAUCUGAUACUGGCAAGCUUGAGUCUCGUAGAGGGGGGUAGAAUUCCAGGUGUAGCGGUGAAAUGCGUAGAGAUCUGGAGGAAUACCGGUGGCGAAGGCGGCCCCCUGGACGAAGACUGACGCUCAGGUGCGAAAGCGUGGGGAGCAAACAGGAUUAGAUACCCUGGUAGUCCACGCCGUAAACGAUGUCGACUUGGAGGUUGUGCCCUUGAGGCGUGGCUUCCGGAGCUAACGCGUUAAGUCGACCGCCUGGGGAGUACGGCCGCAAGGUUAAAACUCGAAUGAAUUGACGGGGGCCCGCACAAGCGGUGGAGCAUGUGGUUUAAUUCGAUGCAACGCGAAGAACCUUACCUGGUCUUGACAUCCACGGAAGUUUUCAGAGAUGAGAAUGUGCCUUCGGGAACCGUGAGACAGGUGCUGCAUGGCUGUCGUCAGCUCGUGUUGUGAAAUGUUGGGUUAAGUCCCGCAACGAGCGCAACCC